rnacentral:tRNA from 1 species
GCCUUCGUGGUGUAGUGGGCAGCACACUCGGCCCGCAUUCGAGAGGUCCGUGGUUCGAGUCCCGGCAAGGAUA